rnacentral:snRNA from 1 species
GGAUGUGAGGGCGACAUGGCUGCGACAUCUGUCACCCCAUUGAUCGCCAGGGUUGAUUCGGCUGAUCUGGCUGGCUAGGCGGGUGUCCCCUUCCUCCCUCACCACUCCAUGUUCGUCCCUCCCGAAGCUGCGGCGCUCGGUCCCGAAGAGGACGACCAUUGCCCGAUAGAGGAGGACCGUUCUUUCAGUUCCAAGGGUAUACGAGUAAAGCUGCGCCUUCCACUGCUAGAGACCUCCAAAACAGCCUCAAGGAGCGGGGAAGCUUGUGAGAGGAGGGAAGACCCCCUUUUCCCACAUGAACGUAAAAACAAACAU